rnacentral:rRNA from 1 species
CAAGUCGAACGGAGUUAUCAUUUUUGAAGCGAUUAGCUUGCUAAGAGUGGACAAGUUGAUAACUUAGUGGCGGACGGGUGAGUAACGCGUGGGUAACCUGCCCCAUACCGGGGGAUACCACCUGGAAACAGGUGCUAAUACCGCAUAAGCACACGGGAGCGCAUGCUCCUGUGUGAAAAACUCCGGUGGUAUGGGAUGGACCCGCGUCUGAUUAGCCAGUUGGCAGGGUAACGGCCUACCAAAGCGACGAUCAGUAGCCGGCCUGAGAGGGUGGACGGCCACAUUGGGACUGAGACACGGCCCAAACUCCUACGGGAGGCAGCAGUGGGGAAUAUUGCACAAUGGGGGAAACCCUGAUGCAGCGACGCCGCGUGAGUGAAGAAGUAUUUCGGUAUGUAAAGCUCUAUCAGCAGGAACGAGACAAGACGGUACCUGACUAAGAAGCCCCGGCUAACUACGUGCCAGCAGCCGCGGUAAUACGUAGGGGGCAAGCGUUAUCCGGAAUCACUGGGUGUAAAGGGAGCGUAGACGGCUGAGCAAGCCUGAAGUGAAAGGCGGGGGCCCAACCCCCGGACUGCUUUGGGAACUGUACGGCUGGAGUGCAGGAGAGGUAAGUGGAAUUCCUAGUGUAGCGGUGAAAUGCGUAGAUAUUAGGAGGAACACCAGUGGCGAAGGCGGCUUACUGGACUGUAACUGACGUUGAGGCUCGAAAGCGUGGGGAGCAAACAGGAUUAGAUACCCUGGUAGUCCACGCCGUAAACGAUGAUUACUAGGUGUCGGGGGGCAGAGGCCCUUCGGUGCCGCAGCAAACGCAAUAAGUAAUCCACCUGGGGAGUACGUCCG